rnacentral:rRNA from 1 species
UAGGGAAUCUUCGGCAAUGGACGGAAGUCUGACCGAGCAACGCCGCGUGAGUGAAGAAGGUUUUCGGAUCGUAAAGCCCUGUUGUAAGAGAAGAACGAGUGUGAGAGUGGAAAGUUCACACUGUGACGGUAUCUUACCAGAAAGGGACGGCUAACUACGUGCCAGCAGCCGCGGUAAUACGUAGGUCCCGAGCGUUGUCCGGAUUUAUUGGGCGUAAAGCGAGCGCAGGCGGUUAGAUAAGUCUGAAGUUAAAGGCUGUGGCUUAACCAUAGUACGCUUUGGAAACUGUUUAACUUGAGUGCAAGAGGGGAGAGUGGAAUUCCAUGUGUAGCGGUGAAAUGCGUAGAUAUAUGGAGGAACACCGGUGGCGAAAGCGGCUCUCUGGCUUGUAACUGACGCUGAGGCUUGAAAGCGUGGGGAGCAAACAGGAUUAGAUACCCUGGUAGUCCACGCCGUAAACGAUGAGUGCUAGGUGUUAGACCCUUUCCGGGGUUUAGUGCCGCAGCUAACGCAUUAAGCACUCCGCCUGGGGAGUACGACCGCAAGGUUG